rnacentral:misc_RNA from 1 species
CAACCCUCAAGCUCUGCUUGGUGUUGGGCUCGCCCCUCGCGGGCCUGCCUCAAAAUCAGUGGCGGCCCCGUCCGGUCUCAAGCGCAGUAAUGCUCGUCGCUUGCUAGUUCCGGGCGGCGGUUGGCCAGCAACCCCCCAAUUUUUACAA